UACGGAGGGUGCAAGCGUUAUCCGGAUUUACUGGGUUUAAAGGGUGUGUAGGCGGAUUUUUAAGUCAGUGGUGAAAUCUCCGGGCUUAACCCGGAAACUGCCAUUGAUACUAUUUGUCUUGAAUACUGUGGAGGUCAGCGGAAUAUGUCAUGUAGCGGUGAAAUGCUUAGAUAUGACAUAGAACACCAAUUGCGAAGGCAGCUGGCUACACAAAUAUUGACACUGAGGCACGAAAGCGUGGGGAUCAAACAGG
rnacentral:rRNA from 1 species